rnacentral:ncRNA from 2 species
AAAGGAUACUAGGGGAGCUUCUGCUGAAGCUGAGAGGACCUUGCGGUCGACCCUUGGAACCUGAUCCAGGUAAUGCUGGCGGAGGGAUGUUGAUGUGUAUCUUA